UUGAACGCUGGCGGCAUGCUUUACACAUGCAAGUCGAGCGGCAGCGCGGGGCAACCUGGCGGCGAGCGGCGAACGGGUGAGUAACAUAUCGGAACGUACCCUAUCGUGGGGGAUAACACAUCGAAAGAUGUGCUAAUACCGCAUACGACCUGAGGGUGAAGGCGGGGGAUCGCAAGACCUCGCGCGACAGGAGCGGCCGAUAUCGGAUUAGCUAGUUGGUGAGGUAAAGGCUCACCAAGGCGACGAUCCGUAGCUGGUCUGAGAGGACGACCAGCCACACUGGAACUGAGACACGGUCCAGACUCCUACGGGAGGCAGCAGUGGGGAAUUUUGGACAAUGGGGGCAACCCUGAUCCAGCCAUUCCGCGUGAGUGAAGAAGGCCUUCGGGUUGUAAAGCUCUUUCAGCCGGAAAGAAAUUGCUUCUAUUAAUACUAGGAGUAGAUGACGGUACCGGAAGAAGAAGCACCGGCUAACUACGU
rnacentral:rRNA from 1 species